rnacentral:rRNA from 1 species
AUUGAACGCUGGCGGCAGGCCUAACACAUGCAAGUCGAACGAGUGGCGGACGGGUGAGUAAUGUCUGGGAAACUGCCUGAUGGAGGGGGAUAACUACUGGAAACGGUAGCUAAUACCGCAUACCAUCGGAUGUGCCCAGAUGGGAUUAGCUAGUAGGUGGGGUAACGGCUCACCUAGGCGACGAUCCCUAGCUGGUCUGAGAGGAUGACCAGCCACACUGGAACGGAGAAACGGUCCAGACUCCUACGGGAGGAAGCAGUGGGGAAUAUUGAAAAAUGGGCGCAAGCCGGAUGCAGCCAUGCCGCGUGUAUGAAGAAGGCCUUCGGGUUGUAAAGUACUUUCAGCGGGGAGGCGUUACCCGCAGAAGAAGCACAGGCUAACUCCGUGCCAGCAGCCGCGGUAAUUA